rfam:Colwellia sp. PAMC 20917, complete genome.
AGGGCCAGAAGAGGAGCAUUAACCAGGUAGUUAUCAUAAAGAGAUCAAGCUCUAAUGAUUGGUAACGAGGGGGAUUAAUGCCGAGGUAAGUAAUUUUUUUGAUAAUUUACUUAUCGGUUGUUUGGGUUGAAUCCUAACAAUUGUCACCAACUUGGUGGGGAGCUUCUGGCCUU